AUCUAGCUGACGAGUCCCAAAUAGGACGAAACGCUCGUCCUAGAU
rnacentral:hammerhead_ribozyme from 1 species